rnacentral:rRNA from 1 species
GAUAAACGCUGGCGGCGUGCAUGAGACAUGCAAGUCGAACGAGUGACUCGGGCUUGCCUGAGUCGCUAGUGGCGAACGGCUGAGUAACGCGUAGGUGACCUACCCCGAAGUGGGGAAUAACUGCCCGAAAGGGUGGCUAAUACCGCAUGUGGUGAGCGUUCAUUCGCCUCAUCAAAGCCGCAAGGCGCUUCGGGAGGGGCCUGCGUCCGAUUAGCUCGUUGGUGGGGUAACGGCUCACCAAGGCGACGAUCGGUAGGUGGUCUGAGAGGACGAUCACCCAGACUGGGACUGAGACACGGCCCAGACUCCUACGGGAGGCAGCAGUCGGGAAUUUUGCGCAAUGGACGAAAGUCUGACGCAGCAACGCCGCGUGAGGGAUGAAGGCCUUCGGGUUGUAAACCUCUUUUCUCAGGGACGAUGAUGACGGUACCUGAGGAAUAAGUCACGGCUAACUACGUGCCAGCCGCCGCGGUAAC